CACAAACCAUUGCUAAAAUCUUUUGCAACAGAACGAUGAAAUAUACUAGAUAAUGAUAGAAGAAGGGUCUCUCUGUAUAGCACAAACUAGACUCUUGAUGCUCCUUCCUCCACUGACCAAAUAGCAUGAUUACAGGAGGGAAUACGCUGCAACUGUUUCUGUCAGGUGCACCCUUAUGAUGCAAUGCCCAUGGAAGUCAGAAGAGGGCUUCGGAUCCCG